CCCGCCCUCCUCGCCCCCCCCCUCCCGGUGGCCGCCUUCCACCACCGUGCACAACCUACAGCUGCGGAUGCUUCAGACCGCAGCAAAGAAAGUACUGACUGUGUCGAGGACUGUUUGGAUAUUUUCUGCUGCUGCUGCCUCUUCAAAGCCUGCUUCUGAUUGAUAUGUUCAGAACCAUAUUGAGGUGUAUGAAUUGAAGGGCGCUGAUCGAUUAUAUAUUUGCCAUAAGAGAUUUCAGAAUUUCCAAUCUCUUUCAAUUGUCUGCGUUUUGGUUCUAAAUAAUAUAUAUGGACUAAUUGUACGCGUCUCUAUAACCUAUAUAUGAUGCUCGGAUAUAUACAUACAUAUAUGCAUUUUAUGUUUUAACCAGCAA